AGUGAACGCUGGCGGUAGGCCUAACACAUGCAAGUCGAACGGCAGCACAGUAAGAGCUUGCUCUUACGGGUGGCGAGUGGCGGACGGGUGAGGAAUACAUCGGAAUCUACUUUUUCGUGGGGGAUAACGUAGGGAAACUUACGCUAAUACCGCAUACGACCUACGGGUGAAAGCAGGGGAUCUUCGGACCUUGCGCGAUUGAAUGAGCCGAUGUCGGAUUAGCUAGUUGGCGGGGUAAAGGCCCACCAAGGCGACGAUCCGUAGCUGGUCCGAGAGGAUGAUCAGCCACACGGAAACUGGGACACGGUCCAGACUCCUACGGGGGGCAGCGGUGGGAAAUAUUGGACAAUGGGCGCAAGCCUGAUCCAGCCAUACGGCGUGGGUGAAGAAGGCCUUCGGGUUGUAAAGCCCUUUUGUUGGGAAAGAAAAGCAGCAGGUUAAUACCCCGCUGUUCUGACGGUACCCAAAGAAUAAGCACCGGCAAACUUCGU
rnacentral:rRNA from 1 species